GUGAUCUGCGUGUGAUCUCCCUCAAAUGCUUUAACUACACUUUCCCCAGGACUGAGGUUUUCGUUGUUUAGGGGAAGAAUGUUCAAAUGUGAUUAAAGAUGUUUUGAGCAAAAAACCUCUGGGAAUUGGUGCCCCCAAACCACCAGGCACCUGUGGGAGCUGACUCCUCUGCAUAACAGGCAGCAAUGCACACACUACCAGGAAUUAAACAGGCAUUUUUAUGCUUAUCAUAGUCAGAAUGAAGUGUUGAUGAAACAAUAGUGGUGCCACAGAGAAGAUAAAAUGCAGAAACAGCCAGCCUAAAAAUGAGAUUCAUUCCACAUAGUUCUAGACACCAACGUCUGUCUUGGUUUCCCUAGGGACCCCCUGAGGCUGUGGCUCAAUUAAUCCUGAAAUAUGCCAGAUGAGUCACACUACAGUAACGUCACACCUUAUCUGGCAUGAAGGAUUUCUCUUGAUGUUGGUCUCAGAUACAAAGUGAAUGGGAGACUAAGAGAGUCUAAAGGAUUUUCAGUAGUCUGCCCACAAGUUAGGGCCACGAUAAAUAACUGAGCUGUAUCCUGUCAAAUGGCUCACAACAUUUUCAGCAGUGCUCACCACAUUUUAGGUUUUUGAAGGCAGACAGUGCAAUGCUGUAUUUACACAGCAAUUACCUGUGUAUGGUGAAUGGAUAGAUGUGGCCUUGUUGCCACAAGUCUUGUGGGUUUCCAGGACACUGUGAAAAGGGCAAGCAGCAAGCCCUUUGAUCUCUUUUGACCACUCCACCUCCAGGGUCAGAUCUAUCUCUGCCCCCUUAGUGCCAUUUACAUCCUGCACAGCAGAACAGCAUCUCUGCAUAUGCCUGAGAUGCCCAAGUGUUGAAAAAGGUUUAUGCUCAGCUCCUGAACUUCAGCCUGAAAUGAUUUAGAUGCGAUCAUCCACUCAUUUCCACCAGCUCUGCUGUGAAGAUAAUACCCAGGAGAGCGACAGAGCAGGCAUCUGGCUGGUAACUGCCUGGACCUCAGGUUGGAGUUUGGCUGAACUGGCAACUCAGGGAAGAAGAAGGAUAAUUCACGUCAGUGAGAGUCCUCUUUACUGAAAAAUGAAUACAAAAAGAGAAGUCCAUAGGGCAGAGGAACUUCCAAAGAAGAAAUUCUCAUUCUCAACCAGUUGGAUGGGAAAACAAGUCCUUUAAUAACCAUUUGGAGAAACAUACAUAGCAAAGAACCAACCAACCAACCAACCUAAAAAAAAAUAAUCCCAAACCAAACUAGGCUAUCAAGAAGCUGUGGCAGAGAGCUACCUGCUUUUGUUGGCUCCAGUGUGUUUUGACUGUGAAUGGAAAUUUAACCCACACCUAAACAAACAAAAAAACAAACAAACAAACAAACAAAAAUGAGGCAGUGUAAUUGCAGGGACACAAUACUGGUGAGCUUUAACAAGGGAGGUAGUCAUAAAAAAGAAUGCCUUGCAGGAGGAAGCUCAGGGCUCAACUGAAGGUACCUAGCAGAUGGGCACAAAUAUUGUAAUCCUCAACCAAAUUUGCUAUAACCAAGGGUUCCAGUAGAGUAACUAGCCUGAAAGUGUAAAUGGAAGUAAUAUUACGAUUGUGGGACAGAGAUGAAAUGAGAAAACCUUGGGAGCUACUGAGUUAGGGAUUUGGGAUGAUAGGUGAGAACCAUUGUUAUAGUUGCUGUAAAAACUAAAAUCCUGAGGCUAGCCCUAGUACAACAUCUAUCCAGACAAGCAAAACAGAUCCGGGAAGAGCUGAAUGGUGAAAAGAUGAGGGUCUUGGAGUUAUAUUUUGGGAACAGUAACCAUUGGGCCAUGGAGAGUGACAUCUGACAACUGCCUCUCAGCUAAUAAUCUUCAACUCCCUUUCUGGACAAGAGAGAUCCAGUGAGUA
rnacentral:lncRNA from 1 species